GCGCCUGUAGCUCAGUCGGAUAGAGCAACGGCCUUCUAAGCCGUAGGUCCCGCGUUCGAGUCGCGGCAGGCGCGCCA
rnacentral:tRNA from 1 species